ACUCUUUAUCAAAAUUAUGUCUUCAUACAAGACCUUGCUGAGAAAACUGAAGAAAGAACACACAAGAAAACUUUCCUGAUGCAGGUGCUGAUUCCUCCGUGCACACCAAACACAAAUCUGAAUUUGAGCUGCUUUGAUGACAACACAUGCACAGUCAGCUACGUCUCAUUGAUUUUUUGUGAGGUCUGCAUCAGAAACUGAGCAAAGCUAGUAACAGUUGCAUUUGUACAGCCUGAAGCAUUUCUAAUAGCUGCCAUGGAGAAGCUACAAGAAAUUCCA